rnacentral:rRNA from 1 species
GGAACGAAAGCCGGGGGAGCAAAUGGGAUUAGAUACCCCAGUAGUCCCGGCCGUAAACGAUGAACACUAGGUGUUGCGGGUAUCGACCCCUGCAGUGCCGCAGCUAACGCGUUAAGUGUUCCGCCUGGGGAGUACGCACGCAAGUGUGAAACUUAAAGGAAUUGACGGGGACCCGCACAAGCGGUGGAACAUGUGGUUUAAUUCGAAGCAACGCGAAGAACCUUACCAGGACUUGACAUUGAUAGAACCCUGAUGAAAGUCGGGGGUGCUCUUCGGAGAACUUGAAAACAGGUGGUGCACGGUUGUCGUCAGCUCGUGUCGUGAGAUGUUGGGUUAAGUCCCGCAACGAGCGCAACCCUUGUCGUUAGUUGGUCAUAGCGGUAUACUUCUAUGUACCUCUCUAGCGAGACUGCCGGUGAUAAACCGGAGGAAGGUGAGGACGACGUCAAAUCAUCAUGCCCCUUACGUUCUGGGCUACACACGUGUUACAAUGGCCGGUACAACGAGCAGCGAGCUCGCGAGGGCAAGCAAAUCUCUUAAACCCGGUCUCAGUUCGGAUUGCACUCUGCAACUCGAGUGCAUGAAGUCGGAAUCGCUAGUA